rnacentral:rRNA from 1 species
UACGGGGGGGGCAAGCGUUGUUCGGAAUUACUGGGCGUAAAGUGUGCGCAGGCGGCCGCGCAUGUCGAGUGUGAAAGCCCCGGGCUCAACCUGGGAAUGGCGAUGGAUACUGGCUCGCUAGAGUGCGGUAGAGGAGAGUGGAAUUCCCGGUGUAGCAGUGAAAUGCGUAGAGAUCGGGAGGAACAUCAGUUGCGAAGGCGGCUCUCUGGACCAGCACUGACACUGAGGCACGAAAGCGUGGGGAGCAAACAGG